AUGAACGCUGGCGGCGUGCCUAAUACAUGCAAGUCGAGCGAACAGACGAGGAGCUUGCUCCUCUGACGUUAGCGGCGGACGGGUGAGUAACACGUGGAUAACCUACCUAUAAGACUGGGAUAACUUCGGGAAACCGGAGCUAAUACCGGAUAAUAUAUUGAACCGCAUGGUUCAAUAGUGAAAGACGGUUUUGCUGUCACUUAUAGAUGGAUCCGCGCCGCAUUAGCUAGUUGGUAAGGUAACGGCUUACCAAGGCGACGAUGCGUAGCCGACCUGAGAGGGUGAUCGGCCACACUGGAACUGAGACACGGUCCAGACUCCUACGGGAGGCAGCAGUAGGGAAUCUUCCGCAAUGGGCGAAAGCCUGACGGAGCAACGCCGCGUGAGUGAUGAAGGUCUUCGGAUCGUAAAACUCUGUUAUUAGGGAAGAACAAAUGUGUAAGUAACUAUGCACGUCUUGACGGGACCUAAUCAGAAAGCCACGGCUAACUACGU
rnacentral:rRNA from 1 species